GACCAUCCAAAUCAAAAGGAAAAAGACAAAGAUUGUCUGUCAAGAAAAAUUGUUUAUCCAGAAUUUCUUUUGCCAAAGAUGGACCAUAUCUAAAAUGUAUCAGUAUACAUGAUAUACAUAAUCAUGAUAGAGAUCUAUCUUUGUUCAUGGCAUCUUGCCGGCAAAGACAAUUGGAUGGUGAUCAAAAGUCAAUAAUUCACCAAGCUCUUAAAUAUGAUGGAAAUCUUACAUUGAUACAUCAAGAAAUGAAAAGAAAGAAUUUAAAUAUAACCAAAAGGGAUUUAUAUAAUCUAAAACAUCAAUAUAUGAAAAAUCCAUGUAGUGUUAAUGAUCUGGAAGAUCUGAUUAAAACUAUAAAAUUAGACAUAACCAAUA